rnacentral:rRNA from 1 species
CCUACGGGAGGCAGCAGUGGGGGAUAUUGGACAAUGGGGGAAACCCUGAUCCAGCGAUGCCGCGUGAGGGAAGAAGGUUUUCGGAUUGUAAACCUCUGUGGAGGGGGACGAUCGUGACGGUACCUCUUUAGGAAGCCACGGCCAACUACGUCCCAGCAGCCGCGGUAAUACGUAGGUGGCGAGCGUUGUCCGGAAUUACUGGGUGUAAAGGGAGUGUAGGCGGGAAGGCAAGUCAGAAGUGAAAUCUAUGGGCUGAACCCAGAGGCUGCUUUUGAAACUGGUAUUCUUGAGUGAGGUAGAGGCUAGUGGAAUUCCUGGUGUAGGAGUGAAAUGCGUAGAUAUCAGGAGGAACACCAGUGGCGAAGGCGACUAGCUGG